GAGGAAUUGAGAGGUGCACUUCUGGUGAUGGUGGAUUAGGCAAUUUGGACUAACUCUCCCACUGAGAACAACUAGAAAAGAUGGAUCACAUAUAAAAAUCAUCUGUGUGAAGGUUAUCAGAGAGCUAACCCAUCAGUGAAGACUAUGGGGACAAAAUCCUGGAGAAGAAGGAAGCCCAAAGAGGGCCAAAGAAGAGCACAAGCCCCAGCCGACACAGUGGUUUCCCUUUAGUGGGAU